rnacentral:lncRNA from 1 species
AGCCCACGUAGAGCAGCAGUGCAACCACAUCAACAACUGGUGUGGCGCUGAAAAGAUUUAGUGUGACCCCAACAGGAAUAGUGAGACAACCUUCUCGAGCUUAAAAAUUAUAAGUAAAGAAAUUGGAACCGUUGAUUUCUCUAUCUCAUUGAGCUCAAUAUAUAGUAAGCUUGAUGUAAAAGUACUGUAUUUUUCUUGCAGUAGAUUUAGAGGAGACUCACUUAUAUUGACUAGAGAGAAAACAAGGGUAGCCAAAAUAGACGACAUACCACUAAAAAGUAAAAAUAUCUUUCCAAAUCUGUAGAGAUCUUGCUC